rnacentral:rRNA from 1 species
GAUGAACGCUAGCUACAGGCUUAACACAUGCAAGUCGAGGGGUAACGAGAGGAAAGCUUGCUUUCCUUGUCGACGACCGGCGCACGGGUGAGUAACGCGUAUCCAACCUGCCCCCAACUAGGGAAUAACCUUGCGAAAGUAAGACUAAUACCCUAUACUUUCCUCAGAUGCCAUCUGACGAGGAAUAAAGAUUUAUCGGUUGUGGAUGGGGAUGCGUCUGAUUAGCUUGUUGGCGGGGUAACGGCCCACCAAGGCAACGAUCAGUAGGGGUUCUGAGAGGAAGGUCCCCCACAUUGGAACUGAGACACGGUCCAAACUCCUACGGGAGGCAGCAGUGAGGAAUAUUGGUCAAUGGGCGGAAGCCUGAACCAGCCAAGUAGCGUGCAGGAUGACGGCCCUAUGGGUUGUAAACUGCUUUUAUACAGGGAUAAAGUUAGCCACGUGUGGUUAUUUGUAGGUACUGUAUGAAUAAGGACCGGCUAAUUCCGUGUCAGCCGCCGCCGUAA